CACGUAGGCGGUUAGGUAAGUCGGAUGUGAAAGCCCUGGGCUUAACCUGGGAACUGCAUUCGAUACUGCCUGGCUAGAGUAUGGGAGAGGGAAGCGGAAUUUCCGGUGUAGCGGUGAAAUGCGUAGAUAUCGGAAGGAACACCAAUGGCGAAGGCAGCUUCCUGGCCCAAUACUGACGCUCAGGUGCGAAAGCGUGGGAUCAAACA
rnacentral:rRNA from 1 species